rnacentral:rRNA from 1 species
AGAGUUUGAUCAGUGGCUACAGGACGAACGCUGGCGGCGUGCUUAACACAUGCAAGUCGAACGAUGAACCGGAGCUUGCUCCGGGGAUUAGUGGCGAACGGGUGAGUAACACGUGGGCAACCUGCCCCAGACACCGGGAUAACCUUCCGAAAGGAUGGCUAAUACCGGAUACGACCACUUCGGGCAUCCGACGGUGGUGGAAAGGAUUCUGGUCUGGGAUGGGCCCGCGGCCUAUCAGCUUGUUGGUGGGGUAAUGGCCUACCAAGGCGACGACGGGUAGCCGGCCUGAGAGGGCGACCGGCCACACUGGGACUGAGACACGGCCCAGACUCCUACGGGAGGCAGCAGUGGGGAAUAUUGCGCAAUGGGCGAAAGCCUGACGCAGCGACGCCGCGUGAGGGACGAAGGUCUUCGGAUUGUAAACCUCUUUCAGCAGGGACGAAGCGAAAGUGACUGUACCUGCAGAAGAAGCACCGGCUAACUACGUG